rnacentral:tRNA from 1 species
UUUUUUGCUUUUCACAUCAGGAUGGGGGUCUGUAUUUUAAGUGGUUAAACAGCACCCGUGAUAAGGGUGAGGUCGGCAAUCGAAUCUGCCCAGACCCACCACUUACCUGGUGAAGUUGGUCAGAGCGCGUACGACACCCGGAUACGGGGCCAUAGCUCAGGUGGGAGAGCGCCAGGUAACUGGCAGUAGGUGAAGAUUUGAAUUCCGACCUCUCCAUCUCAGGGGGCGCUCUUGACAGCUAGUCGUUUUUA